UCCUGGUUAGCUCAGUUGGUAGAGCGCUUUACUGGAAAUGUAGAGGUCGCUGGUUCGAUACCGUGGCCAGGCG
rnacentral:tRNA from 1 species